AUAACUGUGGGUUUGCCCUAGCUAAAGAUCCAGCCGAUGAGGAGGCCUUCUCUCUCUAGGUGGAUUAUGGUGAACUUCUGGUGUUGUUGCACCCGAAAGAACCAUGGGCUCAGACCUGACAAUGGGCUCAGGGUUCACAGCACGAACAGGUGAGGAGGUGGUAUCAGCUUGUGCUGGGCAAAGAGGUAUCUCAGCCGCCAGCAGUAAUGGAGGAGAACAGCCAGGAACAGGUAAUUCUUGAUUCGGUGUCUCACCAGAAGAGGUGAAGUCAGACCACUCAACUGCAGAUGUGUCCUGAGGACUGGCAUGACCUGGCAACAGCUGAUCUACAUGUCCCCACCAGGCAUCUCCCAGCAAUGGAACCAACAUGAUCAUCCAGGGCCAGCUCCAGGCACCAGGCGACCAAGCACGUGCUUGGGGUGGCACCUUGGGGCAGGGCAGCUCUCAGGACCUUGCUGAUCAAGGGCAUUGGAGGAAAGGCAUAUAGCACCUGGCCAACCAGGACAGAAGGAAGGCGUCAGAGAUCAAGCCCUUGCCCAGGCUCCUCCUGGAGCAAAACUGGGGGCACCUGCGGUGCCCCACGUUUGGACGAUCAUGUGCGCCACCUCCGGGUGCAGUGGCCACUCGUGCUGGGACGAGAAGUCCCUGCUCAGGCGAUCUGCUCAAGAGUUCCGGAUGCCAACUGUUCAUUCUAUUUUGCCAGGUGACCCGAUGUGGAUCAAAACUUACUGAAAGACUCCACUUCAACCACAGUGGCUAGAACCGUUCGAUACUAUCCUGGUGAGCCCUACUGCUGUUUGGGUCAAGGAACUUCCCACUUGGAUUCAUCAUACCAGAGUCAAACGGAGCCUCGCUAGGGAGCCCGACCUGGUAAAGGGUUCCCCAGAAGCAGACAGCAUCGGACUUCGAGGGAGCCACGCAUGUUAACCCCACCGCGAACCGGGUGAGCCAGAAGCAGACUACCUCCCUGCCCAGGACAAAUGGACUGCUACCCCUUUGGGUGACCUGAGAUUAAAAUUCAAGAAGUAUACUGGUGCCCAUUCCCCAAGGAAUGGCAGCGAAUAAUCGCCUGGGGAGUUGGUGGACUCAUUUGUGUAUUGUUUGUUUUUCUUUUGUGGUGGUUGGACUAACUAGGGGAUACAAACAUAAGGCCUUUAUUCGCUUUCCUCAUGAAAUGAAAGCCCGUAUGCCAGCACUGAAUAACAUUUUGUGUUGGGUAUGCUCCUUAAUGCCAGUAGAUCGUCACUGAGGUCUUCCCAUGAUCCCCAUACCUCUUAGCCCUAUGAAUAUGACAUGGACUCCUUCAUGGAAGGACUCCUCAGGCUUGCAGAACCUAACCUGGGCAGAUUCAGGAAUCAGAUUAAUAGAUACCUUAUGGUGUGGAAGCGACCUGGUGAAUGGUGUUUCCUGGGCUCAGGAAAUGUGCCUGUAGGAAUUAGCAAUUGUAAAGUCUAUUUUAAUGGAACCCAUUUUGGUGAAAGACGGGGACCUGAUUGUACUCUUGUACAAGGUUUACCCUGACCUGGAAAGUCCUGGUAUGUUUUCCCUGCUAACUUUUGCAGCUUGUUUAAUCGGUUGGUAUUGGAUAAACCUUAUGUAUUUACCAUGUGUAUACGUUGCUUUAUAGCACCAGAUCUAUUGCACACUAAUUGCACCGCAGUGCUCGAGCAUUCAGAGAUCAUUCACAUACGCUGCAUAAAAAAGCAUUCUUUUAAUUCUUCAAGUACUGAAUACUCUAUGUCAGUGUACUGAUAAUGCUACUAAUAGUUUUCAGUCUCUCUGCCUGGACUGGAUGGUAUUACAAACCCCAAUAUACUGCAUGUAUUAUAUCUAAUCCCUUGUUUAGAGUCUAU